rnacentral:rRNA from 1 species
UACGAAGGGGGGCUAGCGUUGUUCGGAAUUACUGGGCGUAAAGCGCGCGCAGGCGGUCUUCCAAGUCAGUGGUGAAAGCCCGGAGCUCAACUCCGGAAUUGCCAUUGAAACUGUUAGACUUGAGGAUGAGAGAGGUGAGUGGAAUUCCCAGUGUAGAGGUGAAAUUCGUAGAUAUUGGGAAGAACACCGGUGGCGAAGGCGGCUCACUGGCUCAUUACUGACGCUCAGGCGCGAUAGCGUGGGGAUCAAACAGG